rnacentral:rRNA from 1 species
AGACCCCUUUCUGCGUAAGCAGCGAGGGACUCUUAGUGGCGAACGGGUGAGUAACACGUGAGAAACCUGCCCCGGAGAUCGGGAUAGCCCAGGGAAACCUGGAUUAAUACCGAAUAUCCUCGAAUGGUCGCAUGGCCGAUCGAGGAAAUGGUCCGCCGCUCCGGGAUGGUCUCGCGUCCUAUCAGCUUGUUGGUGAGGUAACGGCUCACCAAGGCGACGACGGGUAGCUGGUCUGAGAGGACGAUCAGCCACACUGGGACUGAGACACGGCCCAGACUCCUACGGGAGGCAGCAGCAGGGAAUUUUGCACAAUGGGCGCAAGCCUGAUGCAGCGACGCCGCGUGGGGGAUGAAUGCCUUCGGGUUGUAAACCCCUUUCAGGAGGGACGAAGCGAAAGUGACGGUACCUCCAGAAGAAGCCCCGGCCAACUACGUGCCAGCAGCCGCGGUAAUACGUAGGGGGCGAGCGUUGUCCGGAUUUAUUGGGCGUAAAGAGCUCGUAGGCGGCUCAACAAGUCGGCCGUGAAAGCCUGAGGCUCAACCUCAGGACGCCGGUCGAAACUGUUGUGGCUAGGGUUCGGUAGAGGAGAGUGGAAUUCCCGGUGUAGCGGUGAAAUGCGCAGAUAUCGGGAGGAACACCAGUAGCGAAGGCGGCUCUCUGGGCCGACACCGACGCUGAGGAGCGAAAGCUAGGGGAGCAA